rnacentral:miRNA from 1 species
GGUACCUAUUAAAAAUAGAUUCCUGGGCCCUGCCUCAAGAAAUUCUAAUUCAGUAAUUCUGGGAUGGGGUCCAGGAAUCUGUAUUUUUAACAAGUAUCG